GCAAGUCGAACGAGAACGGGUCUAGCUUGCUAGAUUGUCAGCUAAGUGGCGCACGGGUGAGUAAUAUAUAGAUAACAUGCCCCAAAGAGAGGGAUAACAUUUGGAAACGAAUGCUAACACCUCAUAUGCCUUUAUCACAUAAGUGAGCAAGGGAAAUAUUUAUAGCUUUGGGAUUGGUCUGUACAGUAUCAGUUAGUUGGUGAGGUAAUGGCUCACCAAGUCAAUGACGCCUAACUGGUUUGAGAGGAUGAUC
rnacentral:rRNA from 1 species